rnacentral:rRNA from 1 species
UACGGGGGGGGCAAGCGUUGUUCGGAAUUACUGGGCGUAAAGGGCUCGUAGGCGGCCAACUAAGUCAGACGUGAAAUCCCUCGGCUUAACCGGGGAACUGCGUCUGAUACUGGAUGGCUAGAGGUUGGGAGAGGGAUGCGGAAUUCCUGGUGUAGCGGUGAAAUGCGCAGAUAUCAGGAGGAACACCCGUGGCGAAAGCGGCUCUCUGGGACGGUACUGACGCUGAGACGCGAAAGCGUGGGGAGCGAACAGG